UACGUAGGGUGCGAGCGUUGUCCGGAAUUAUUGGGCGUAAAGGGGCUCGUAGGCGGUUUGUCGCGUCGGGAGUGAAAUCCACUGGCUUAACUGGUGGCUUGCUUUCGAUACGGGCAGACUGGAGGUAUGCAGGGGAGAACGGAAUUCCUGGUGUAGCGGUGAAAUGCGCAGAUAUCAGGAGGAACACCGGUGGCGAAGGCGGUUCUCUGGGCAUGUCCUGACGCUGAGGAGCGAAAGUGUGGGGGAGCGAACAGG
rnacentral:rRNA from 1 species